AGUUUGAUCCUGGCUCAGGACGAACGCUGGCGGCGUGCUUAACACAUGCAAGUCGAACGGUGAUGUCAGAGCUUGCUCUGGCGGAUCAGUGGCGAACGGGUGAGUAACACGUGAGUAACCUGCCCCCGACUCUGGGAUAACUGCUAGAAAUGGUAGCUAAUACCGGAUAUGACGAUUGGCCGCAUGGUCUGGUCGUGGAAAGAAUUUCGGUUGGGGAUGGACUCGCGGCCUAUCAGGUUGUUGGUGAGGUAAUGGCUCACCAAGCCUACGACGGGUAGCCGGCCUGAGAGGGUGACCGGCCACACUGGGACUGAGACACGGCCCAGACUCCUACGGGAGGCAGCAGUGGGGAAUAUUGCACAAUGGGCGCAAGCCUGAUGCAGCAACGCCGCGUGAGGGAUGACGGCCUUCGGGUUGUAAACCUCUUUUAGUAGGGAAG
rnacentral:rRNA from 1 species